AUGGCUAGCAAUGAUAGUACGGAGCCAACAAGUCUGACGAUCCAAAAAAUACGAGAAAUGACAGAUAAUUUCUCUGAGCAACGAGCACUUGGUCAAGGUGCAUAUGGAAAGGUUUACAAGGGGGUGCAUGCCAAUGGAGAAGAGAUUGCGGUCAAGUUGCUCUAUAACAACAUCCAAACACCCAAUGAUGAGCAAUUUCAACAUGAGUUUGAUAACCUUAUGAUGCUUAACCAUCGAAACAUUGUACGAUUAGUUGGCUACUGCUACGAAACACAGCGCCAACAUGUAGAUUUCCACGGAAGAAUAGUUUUCGGUGAGACAACAUACAAAGCACUCUGCUUUGAGUAUAUGCACAAUGGGAGCCUUCAAAGACAUCUUUCUGAUGAAUUUCAUGGACUUGAUUGGAAGAAACGUUACAAUAUUAUCAAGGGAGCAUGUGAGGGAUUAAAAUACCUUCAUGAAGGAUUCAGAAAACCAAUUUACCAUUUGGACCUAAAACCAGACAACAUACUACUAGAUGAGAAUAUGAUACCAAAGCUUGCAGAUUUUGGUUUGUCCAAGCUCUUUGGUGAAGAACAAACCAGGGUCACAAAUAGUCCUGCAGGAACAAUCGGAUACUUGCCACCAGAAUACUUAUUUGGACACAUUGUCUCAAAGAAGUUGGACGUAUUUAGCUUGGGUGUUGUAAUUACAAAGAUAAUCGCAGGACCUAAAGGCCACACAAGAAGUGCAGAAAUGCCUUACCAAGAGUUUCUUGAUCAAGUACAUCAAAACUGGAGGACCAGGUUGGAAGCAACUUGCACUUCUUCAAGGAUACUAGAUGCAUAUUGUGAGCAAGUGACCAUAUGCACUGAGAUAGGAGUGAGCUCCAUGGAGGUUGAUCGGUACAAAAGGCCCAGUAUACUGGAUAUUAUCCAAAGACUGGACGAGACCGAAGCUAUGAUUGAAAAGGCGAUUUCAUGGUCGGCGAAUUCAAGUUCAUCGAUGCCAGUGAAGUCCCAAAGCGAGAACAAUGACAAUCAGGUGAGAGUAGAAGCGUUCGCAAGAAACAAGGCGAUUCAGCUUGCGGAGACGUGCGAUCAGUUCCCCGUCUUGGUGCGGGUCAGUAGGAGGGCACUAUGGGGUCGUGCGAAGGAGAUGCUAAGCGCUGGUAUCGACGUCGUCCUAGUGUUCAACGCCCCGAAGCAAGCUGUGAAGGAGGUGAUCACGAAGUUUAUGGACGAACUGGGCCCUAACGACCGCCUCUCCAUCUUGUUUGUCGGGCAAAACUCUACGCAACAAGUCACGGAGCUUACGUACAUGUCCGCCCAUGGCCGGGACGUUGCCAACCACGAGAUCAGCAAGCUGGUGGCCCUCUACUGUGGAACAGUGCAUGAGGGCCACGUUCUGCAAAAGGCAGCUGAGGUUCUGCGGCAGCGUGGUGUGGAGGAGAGCAGUAACCGUACCGGCUGCAUCCUGCACGUGUGGGUGGGUUGGACUUUCCUUGAGAUGUUCAAACAAGAGAUCAGCCCGGAAUUCCCGGUCCACACCAUUGCUUUGGGCGAUCAUAAUCGACGGGAUAUGAAUCUAAUAGCCGAAAAGACCUCCGGCACCUACUCCUCCAUCGAAAACCAGAAUACCAUCGCGCAUGUUGUCACGCAAUGGGCUGCACAGUGGCCUGACAGGAUCACGAUCCAGGCUGACGAGGGCGUCACCAUAUCUUCCAUCGUGUCAGGUUGUUAUGGCAAUCUUCUAAGCUCGGACAAACGGUCAGCCAUAGUAGCCCUUAACAAGAUCUGUGCCGGAGAACAGAAGACCUUCGUGGUCUACUUGACGGUCCCACAGGGCAAGGAGAAGCUUGUCACGGUCGGCGGUCAGUACCAGGGCAAGGAGCUAGUUGGCAUGGACGUGGUCAUAAUACGACCACGCCGAAAAUGUCUGCCAGACGAGAUGAUCAUCCACCCUAAGGUGGCAGCAGAGCUCUUGCGGAUCCAGUUGAUGAAGGCCAGGUUGGAUAAGCAUCGCAGCAAAAUGGAAGCGUUGUACGGUGAGACCAAGGACUUGGAUGAACAAAGCAACGCCCAAGAGGACGUCGAAGACAUGAGAAGCCGAUAUGGGCAGUCCGAAGUUUUCCAACAAACCGUAGAGCAACAACACAUACAGGUACAAGGAUUCGCAAGAAGCAAGGCAAUUAUGGGCAGCAAGACAUACACCGAGUUCACUGUCCUGGUGAGGGUUUCCGCGGCACCAUGGCAUCACGCCCAGGAGAUGCCACGCGAUGGCGUGGACCUCGUCGCUGUGCUCGAUGUCAGCAGAAGCAUGCAGGCAGAGAUGCUAGAGAGCGUGAAGCAGGCCAUGAUGAUCGUGAUCGACAAACUCGGUCCGGAUGAUCGGCUUUCCAUCGUGUUAUUAUUGCAGACUCACAAGCGCCGCCUUUUGGAGCUCACUUAUAUGUCUGACGACCAUGGCCAUGGUCGGGAUGCUGCGAGGUUCAAGAUCAGUCAACUAAAAGCUUCAGAUGGAAGAUGCACGAGCCAUAUUGCUAGCGCCGCUCUACAAGAGGGGGCUCAGAUUCUCAAGGGACGUGGAACAGAGGAGAUCAGCGGUCGCCUAGGCUGCAUGAUCUUCUUGUCAGAUGGCGAGUACCCAGAGAUCUUACAGAUGCAGAUCAGCCCUGAAUUUCUGGUGCACACCUUCGGUUUGGGUGCUGACCACAACUCCAAUGUAAUGAAGUACAUUGCAGAUAUGACCUCUGGAACCUACUCUUUCGUCGACCAGGACAUCAGCAACGUCAAGGAUGCCCUCGUGCUGUUCAUCACCGGUCUCACGUCGAUUGCCGCAACGUCCAUCAUGAUCAGCCUAGUGGCUAACCUUGGCACAUCCAUAUCAUCCAUCGAGUCUGGCAACUACAACCACAACGUGAAAGGCGACAAAAAUUCUGGCACUAUCAAUAUCAACCACAUCUAUGCCGGUGAACGAAAGGAGUUCAUCAUCAACCUAAUAGUAGGGGCUGGCAAGAAGAGGCUCAUGACCAUUGGCGGACAGUACCAGGGCUUCCAUGGGAGCAAGAAGUUUCUGGAUGAAACGGACAUGUCCGUACUACGACCCUGGUUGACUCGCUCGCCAGACUAUAUGGAAAUCCACCCUGACGUAGCAGCAGAGAUCGCACGGAUCAGACUACGGAAUGGUGUUUCAGACAUGCUGGAGAAGCAGCACUUGACUGGUCAGGGGUUGGAACAGCUAUGGAACAUGAUCAAGCACUCUGACGAGGGCCGCGGAGCACCAGAGAAAACCUUGUCUGGCCUCAGCAUGGACAUAGAUGAAAUGAAGAGGGACGUUUCAGGGAUGCCUUACACGCUAUCGUGGCUGUCAUGCCACAAGUGGCAGCGUGCAACCACCAAGGGUGCAGCCAAAAACUGCAGUGCUUUCCGAGCAAUAGCGCAGCAUGCAGAUGAAGAUACCAAUUUGGUGAAGGUAGAAACUUUCACAAGAAGUAAGGCUAUUCCAAGUGAGGGCCCCUGCAACAAGUUCCCUGUCCUCGUACGAGCUGCGGUAGCGCCAUGGUCGUGUGCGGAGGAGAUGCGACGCUUGGGCAUCGACAUUGUCGCCGUCCUUGAUGUCAGUGGAAGAAUGCAAGGGGAGAAGCUGGAUCGCAUGAAGCAGGCCAUGAAGGUCGUCAUCGACAAGCUCGGUGUAGAUGACCGACUCUCCAUCGUGUCAUUCGGCACCCAUGAGAAUUGCCUCAUGAACCUCACUUACAUGUCUGACCAUGACCGGGAUGUCGCCAGGCUCAAGAUCAACGAGCUGGUUGCCGGUGGUCAGAAUGACAUGAGCGCCGGUCUGCGAGAGGGAGCCCAGAUUCUGUGGUGGCGUGGAGUAGAGCGCAGCAGCCGUGUAGGCUGCAUGAUGCUCCUGUCAGACGGCAAGUUCCCAGAGAUAUUACAGACGGAGCUCGACAGAGAGUUCCCAGUGCACACCUUGGGUUUAGGCUCUGACCACAACCCCAAAGUCAUGAAGUAUAUCGCGGAAAUGACUUCCGGCACCUACUCCUCCUUCAACCAGGGCAUUGAGUUCAGGGAUGCCCUCGCGCUAUUCAUCAGAGGCCUCACAUCGAUCACCGCGAGGUCCAUCAAGAUUACCCUCAGGACCAACGAGGGCGUCACCAUAUCAUCAAUCGAGUCUGGCGGCUACACCCACCACGUGAAAUCCAAUAAUCAAUCUGGCACGAUAGAGGUUGACAACAUCUCUGCUGGCGAGCAAAAGGCCUUCAUUGUCUACCUAAGAGUGGCAGAGGGCAAGAAGGAUCUCAUGACCAUAGGAGGCCAAUACCUGAGCCACAACACGGUGAGGCACCUGGCUAACACAGGCGUCUACGCGCUGCGGCCACACCUGGAAUGUGUGCCAGGCGACCUGGCCAUCCACUGUGACGUGGCAGCGGAGCUCGUGCGGAUCCGUCUGGAGAAGGGCAUCUCGGCCAUGCUGGAGCAGGGCCCGAGUGGCGCUGUGCUGCAACAGCUAUGGGAUGAGAUCAUGGACUCUGACGAAGCUCGUGCCACGCCAGAGGAAGCCUUGUCUGCCCUGAGCAUGGACGUCACUGAAAUGAAGAGAGGCAUUGAACACCCCGAGGAGUACAGGAAGUCAGGGCUGCCUUACACGCUGUCAUGGCUGAGUAGCCACAACUGGAAGCGAGCAACCAUCAAGGGCACACCCUGCAGCUCGGAUGCUGCUAUCCAAACAACAGGGCAUGAUGCAGACGAGACAACAACUCUGUCCAACUGA
rnacentral:rRNA from 1 species